GACGAACGCUGGCGGCGUGCUUAACACAUGCAAGUCGAACGAUGAAGCCGGAGCUUGCUCCGGUGGAUUAGUGGCGAACGGGUGAGUAACACGUGAGCAAUCUGCCCUUGACUCUGGGAUAACUGCGGGAAACUGUAGCUAAUACCGGAUACGAAGCCUGGAGGCAUCUCCGGGUUUGGAAAGAAUUUCGGUCAAGGAUGAGCUCGCGGCCUAUCAGCUAGUUGGUGAGGUAAUGGCUCACCAAGGCGACGACGGGUAGCCGGCCUGAGAGGGUGACCGGCAACACUGGGACUGAGACACGACCCAGAAUCCAACAGGAGGCAGCAGUGGGGAAUAUUGGACAAUGGGCGAAAGCCUGAUGCAGCAACGCCGCGUGAGGGAUAAAGGCCUUCGGGUUGUAACCUCUUUUAGCAGGGAAGAAGCGAAAGUGACGGUACCUGCGGAAAAAGCACCGGCUAACUACGUGCCGGCCGCCGCCGUAA
rnacentral:rRNA from 1 species